rnacentral:rRNA from 1 species
UGUCUCCACCCGAGACUCAGUGAAAUUGAACUCGCUGUGAAGAUGCAGUGUACCCGCGGCAAGACGGAAAGACCCCGUGAACCUUUACUAUAGCUUGACACUGAACAUUGAGCCUUGAUGUGUAGGAUAGGUGGGAGGCUUUGAAGUGUGGACGCCAGUCUGCAUGGAGCCGGCCUUGAAAUACCACCCUUUAAUGUUUGAUGUUCUAACGUGGACCCGUGAUCCGGGUUGCGGACAGUGUCUGGUGGGUAGUUUGACUGGGGCGGUCUCCUCCUAAAGAGUAACGGAGGAGCACGAAGGUUGGCUAAUCCUGGUCGGACAUCAGGAGGUUAGUGCAAUGGCAUAAGCCAGCUUGACUGCGAGCGUGACGGCGCGAGCAGGUGCGAAAGCAGGUCAUAGUGAUCCGGUGGUUCUGAAUGGAAGGGCCAUCGCUCAACGGAUAAAAGGUACUCCGGGGAUAACAGGCUGAUACCGCCCAAGAGUUCAUAUCGACGGCGGUGUUUGGCACCUCGAUGUCGGCUCAUCACAUCCUGGGGCUGAAGUAGGUCCCAAGGGUAUGGCUGUUCGCCAUUUAAAGUGGUACGCGAGCUGGGUUUAGAACGUCGUGAGACAGUUCGGUCCCUAUCUGCCGUGGGCGCUGGAGAACUGAGGGGGGCUGCUCCUAGUACGAGAGGACCGGAGUGGACGCAUCACUGGUGUUCGGGUUGUCAUGCCAAUGGCACUGCCCGGUAGCUAAAUGCGGAAGAGAUAAGUGCUGAAAGCAUCUAAGCACGAAACUUGCCCCGAGAUGAGUUCUCCCUGAGACUUUAGGUCUCCUGAAGGAACGUUGAAGACGACGACGUUGAUAGGCCGGGUGUGUAAGCGCAGCGAUGCGUUGAGCUAACCGGUACUAAUGAACCGUGAGGCUUAACCUU